GCUGGAGAGAAAGCUGGCUGGAGAGCUUGCCCUUUGUUGGGUAUAGGAAGUAAAGUGGUGAAGAUUGACCUCCUUCAGGAACUUCAGCUCAGAUUGGCUGAGCCACAGAAAAUCAUGAGACAAAAGCCAGAAACAUAUAGACCUAUUUGUGAGAAAAUUAAGAAACUCUUUCCUGAAUGAAGGGUACUUAGCCACUAGAAGCCUCAACCUUAAUAUAACUGACCUGGAAUAAUAAUAGAAACCUCAACUUCAUCAUUUCACGGCCACAAUCUCAACUUCACAGGAUAGCAUCAACUGAAGAAAGAAGAGAAUGCUGGCAGCUCAUGAAGAAUUGAUCUAUGGACACAAAAGGAAAUCAUAAAAGGCAAUGGAGGAACAUGUCAGUGCUUGGAUGGUGCAAUGAACAAUAAAAUGGAAAAAUAAACAGCAUUUUGGAGUCAUAAAUGGCAGGACUUUGUAAGAGCCUGUAUGUACCGCAUGAAGAAGGAUCUAAGGAUAAUUUGCUAUAUUUAUUUGUACAGGUAUGGUGUCACUUAUAGAGAUGGAUAAUUUAGGGACAAGAACAACUCUGCUGAGAGUUGUGCUGAAGACACAUAAAUUUUUGAAGUAAUUUAGUCUGGGGGGAAAAACAUUGAAUAUGGGUAGGAUACAGAAGAAACUUGAAGCAACAAGAAAGUAGUAAAAAGACUUAGAAAUAGAGAAAGAAGAGCUAGUUCAACAGUUAGGACACAGCAUUGACAAACACCAAUAUCUGAAGCUUAAAAGUGAAAGAAGAAACCACCAGGUACACAGAGGCAGAACAACGCUGAAUAUACAUCCAGAUCCACUUGAAUGAUGGCAAUUCUGUGGUUUGGGUUUCUAUUUGUGAAGAACCAAAGUAACAUA